GAUGAACGCUGGCGGCGUGCCUAAUACAUGCAAGUCGAGCGAACGGACGAGAAGCUUGCUUCUCUGAUGUUAGCGGCGGACGGGUGAGUAACACGUGGAUAACCUACCUAUAAGACUGGGAUAACUUCGGGAAACCGGAGCUAAUACCGGAUAAUAUUUUGAACCGCAUGGUUCAAAAGUGAAAGACGGUCUUGCUGUCACUUAUAGAUGGAUCCGCGCUGCAUUAGCUAGUUGGUAAGGUAACGGCUUACCAAGGCAACGAUGCAUAGCCGACCUGAGAGGGUGAUCGGCCACACUGGAACUGAGACACGGUCCAGACUCCUACGGGAGGCAGCAGUAGGGAAUCUUCCGCAAUGGGCGAAAGCCUGACGGAGCAACGCCGCGUGAGUGAUGAAGGUCUUCGGAUCGUAAAACUCUGUUAUUAGGGAAGAACAUAUGUGUAAGUAACUGUGCACAUCUUGACGGUACCUAAUCAGAAAGCCACGGCUAACUACGUGCCAGCAGCCGCGGUAAUACGUAGGUGGCAAGCGUUAUCCGGAAUUAUUGGGCGUAAAGCGCGCGUAGGCGGUUUUUUGAGUCUGAUGUGAAAGCCCACGGCUCAACCGUGGAGGGUCAUUGGGAACUGGAAAACUUGAGUGCAGAAGAGGAAAGUGGAAUUCCAUGUGUAGCGGUGAAAUGCGCAGAGAUAUGGAGGAACACCAGUGGCGAAGGCGACUUUCUGGUCUGUAACUGACGCUGAUGUGCGAAAGCGUGGGGAUCAAACAGGAUUAGAUACCCUGGUAGUCCACGCCGUAAACGAUGAGUGCUAAGUGUUAGGGGGUUUCCGCCCCUUAGUGCUGCAGCUAACGCAUUAAGCACUCCGCCUGGGGAGUACGACCGCAAGGUUGAAACUCAAAGGAAUUGACGGGGACCCGCACAAGCGGUGGAGCAUGUGGUUUAAUUCGAAGCAACGCGAAGAACCUUACCAAAUCUUGACAUCCUUUGACAACUCUAGAGAUAGAGCCUUCCCCCUCGGGGGACAAAGUGACAGGUGGUGCAUGGUUGUCGUCAGCUCGUGUCGUGAGAUGUUGGGUUAAGUCCCGCAACGAGCGCAACCCUUAAGCUUAGUUGCCAUCAUUAAGUUGGGCACUCUAAGUUGACUGCCGGUGACAAACCGGAGGAAGGUGGGGAUGACGUCAAAUCAUCAUGCCCCUUAUGAUUUGGGCUACACACGUGCUACAAUGGACAAUACAAAGGGCAGCGAAACCGCGAGGUCAAGCAAAUCCCAUAAAGUUGUUCUCAGUUCGGAUUGUAGUCUGCAACUCGACUACAUGAAGCUGGAAUCGCUAGUAAUCGUAGAUCAGCAUGCUACGGUGAAUACGUUCCCGGGUCU
rnacentral:rRNA from 1 species